rnacentral:rRNA from 1 species
UACGGAGGGUGCAAGCGUUAUCCGGAUUCACUGGGUUUAAAGGGUGCGUAGGUGGGCAGUUAAGUCAGUGGUGAAAUCUCCGGGCUCAACCCGGAAACUGCCAUUGAUACUAUCUGUCUUGAAUAUCGUGGAGGUAAGCGGAAUAUGUCAUGUAGCGGUGAAAUGCUUAGAUAUGACAAAGAACACCAAUUGCGAAGGCAGCUUACUACCCGAAUAUUGACACUGAGGCACGAAAGCGUGGGGAUCAAACAGG